CAAUUCUUUGCCAUUGUCCUUUUUGCUUUUGUGCCCAGCUCUUAUUCAACACCAGUCCUGGAACCACUCAAUGAGACAUUUAAUGCUGUCCUUGCUCCCUGACAUUUCACAGCAGCACUUUUGUCAAGCCAUCUCUGCUCUGGCCAGAUAAAUCACAUUACACAGGGAGAAGGCAAAUCUACCCAACUACAGCACAAAUCUGGGGAAAAAACAAAUCAAUUGUAUGAAAGAGUCCUCAUGAAUGAAGACAAGGAACCAUUGGCCUGACUCACAUCUCAAUGCAUUUUCCAGUGAAGAGCUGUAAAGGACCUCAGAGGAAAAACCUGUCAAAUCAAGAAGAGAUUUUUAUUUUUUUUUAAUAGAAAUAUAGGUCUAAUUGUACAGCGUGAUUCUGGCAGCAAUUUUAGCUGAAAUUUAGAAAUUUCUAGCGAUUUGCACCUAACAUAAUAAACUUGUCCUUACUUUAAAGACCA
rnacentral:lncRNA from 1 species